CUGUACGCCCCCCUGAACCGGGCCCAGUGUCAUCUCUGCUUAUUAUUUGUGCAUACCGUAUACGUUGUAUUUUCUGUGCAGAUGGAAAUGCAAAAGACAGUUAAUGCAAACAAACCCAUUGUACUCUUAUUCCCUCAUCUAAUGACGAUCGGUAAGGAAUCGGAUCGAUAAGUGAAAU